CCUACGGGAGGCAGCAGUGGGGAAUUUUGGACAAUGGGCGCAAGCCUGAUCCAGCCAUGCCGCGUGCGGGAAGAAGGCCUUCGGGUUGUAAACCGCUUUUGUGGAAAGUUCGGUACCUGAAGAAUAAGCACCGGCUAACUACGUGCCAGCAGCCGCGGUAAUACGUAGGGUGCAAGCGUUAAUCGGAAUUACUGGGCGUAAAGCGUGCGCAGGCGGUUAUGCAAGACAGAGGUGAAAUCCCCGGGCUCAACCUGGGAACUGCCUUUGUGACUGCAUGGCUAGAGUACGGUAGAGGGGGAUGGAAUUCCGCGUGUAGCAGUGAAAUGCGUAGAUAUGCGGAGGAACACCGAUGGCGAAGGCAAUCCCCUGGCCGUACUGACGCUCAUGCACGAAAGCGUGGGGAGCAAACAGGAUUAGAUACCCUUGUAGUC
rnacentral:rRNA from 1 species